UACGAAGGGGGCAAGCGUUGUCCGGAUUUAUUGGGCGUAAAGAGCGUGUAGGCGGCUAGAUAGGUCCGUUGUGAAAACUCGAGGCUCAACCUCGAGACGUCGAUGGAAACCAUCUGGCUAGAGUCCGGAAGAGGAGAAUGGAAUUCCCGGUGUAGCGGUGAAAUGCGCAGAUAUCGGGAAGAACACCCGUGGCGAAGGCGGUUCUCUGGGACGGUACUGACGCUGAGACGCGAAAGCGUGGGGAGCAAACGGG
rnacentral:rRNA from 1 species